UAGUGGGUCCAAUGACUGUGGGCCCAUCUUUCUCUCUUCCUCUCAUCCCCAGCCUACUUCACAGGGUUGUUGUGAGGACAAGGUAGGCAGGAGGAGGGCCACAUGGGUCAAUCUGAGCUCUUUGAAGGGCAGGUGAAGUAUAAGCACCUUCCGUGAAGAUGUAACUUAUGCCCCUAGAUUCUUCAAUUUUCACUCCAGGCCUCUAGUAUGUGUUCAUACUGGAAAUAUGUGGAAAUGCUGCCUGUUCAAACAUCACAUUCUCUUUAUUCUUUUCCUUGCUGUCUGUUUUGGACUGUAUGAUCCUUGGGAACAGGGACCUGUUUUUGCCUAUGACGUCCUGCAUGUAGAGGAUACAGAAAUACCAGAAUCUUAUGUUAGCGCCUUAAAGGCAAACUGGUUUUAUUGGGUAAGAUAAUCUUUCAUGGCCUAUUGCCCAUUUCAGCAGCUGCCUGGAGUGUUGGCCCAGUUGCCAGAUCUUUGGAUGAAGGCGAGAGGGGGGAUUUGGCGGAACUGAAAUGCAAAAGUCAGUUCAAGGGAGGCAAGUGGAGUCCCAAAGGAGUUGCCUUCUACUGGUUGUCUGGCCACUGGUCCAUCCAGCUCCAACAGUUGACAUAUGGGCAUGCCACUUGAGACACAGAAGAAGGCCAAGGCUGUCCCUUUCCCUCUCUGCCCUGAGAACUGCACUGGAACGGGAGGCAGUCCCUGUGCUCAAGCAUUAGGGUCCUUUCUAUGAAAUAUAGAGUAGAAUAUUGUUGUUCUAAUAAUCUGAAGACUCCUGGUUUAACCAGUGCACCCUCUAUUGACGAAUAAGGCACCUAUGCCACACCGUCCUUGUUCUCAUAAUUGCCGAGGCCAGCUUGUCCCUUGCUGGCAAGCCUUCCAAGAAGUCUUUCCUGACUACCGUGUCAUAGCAUGAAUGAUGAAGGUGACUCUGGGAGCUCAAAGGCUGCCACAG